AUAAUUGAAAAGAGGAAGAGUUAGAUUUUCCGAAAGGAAAAUCUUAAGGGAAGUCAGUCGAUCUGACGCGGUGCCCGCCACUGUAAGAGGGAGUUAAUCCACACUAAUGUCACUGGAGUUUAUCUGAGAAGACGUGGGUUAAUGAAGAACUUAAGCCAGGAAACCUGCUCGCCUCCAUAGUUCAAA
rfam:Desulfitobacterium dichloroeliminans LMG P-21439, complete genome.